rnacentral:ncRNA from 29 species
AUUUAGUUAUAUGACUGACGGAUAAGUGGAAGAACCACGUGGAGUAUAACAAGAGAUAUAAAGGUGACAGAUCCAAAGAUUGCACCGCAGAUAGGGCGAUACAUCACAGAUGUACCGCAGAUAAGGCGAUGCUUCAGAGAAGCACCGCAGGGGCCGACCGUCUGGGCACCGCAC